GAGUUCCAUGAUUUAAUAAUAAUAAUAUAUAAUAAUAAUAAUAAUAAUAAUAAUAAUGUCCAGUAAUGGUUAAUAAUCUUGCAUAUCACUUUAAUAUACUAAAAUGUCAACUGUAAUAGUAUGACAGCACUAGUAGUGUGUAUUAUUAAAGCAGGAAUGUGAUUCUCACCUGAAAUGAUGUUAAAACCUAAAACUAAAGUAAACCCAGUCAACCUGAAUACAGUACAUCAAUACAACAGCCCGCUGUAUGGCCAAAGCCGAGCAGCUCUUUACAGGAAGUCACCAGAAACUUUACAGUGUAGUGUAAGGGAUUGUAGCUGAAUGAUGUCCAUUGGUAUGAUAGCCUUACGCACAGCGCCGUGAUAGCGUUUGAUGCUAUUACUGAUGUAAGAUGGUAUUAUAAUGGCACGUAAUAUGAUAGUCUGAUCUGAAAGUCUAAAGCAGCUGUGUUUCGUUUCCCUCUCGCUCAGUCGGGUUUAAACGCAUUCCUCACAUCUCAAUGUCACCUCUGCCAUCUCCGCGCGCUCGGUCAUGACUCGCGACAGCUCCUGCCGCCGUGUGCGUGACCGACGCGUGUCCGCGGCGAGGCGUUUUGACGGAUGCGAGGUUAUCCCGAAGAGCGUUUGCCGUCUCUCUGACAGAAACCCAAUAGAAAAGCGUUUUCUCUACGUAAUGAAUCCCCUCCUCCUCCUCCUCCACCUCCUCCUCCUCCUCCGACAUAACGGAGCGAUGCUGCCGUUCGCGCUUCAAUCGAAUCGCGUCCGAUCGUAACGCGGCUCCGGCGCGAUGGAGACGGAGUCCCUGGCGUGAAUCGAAGGGGGGGGGGAAGCCCUCAGCACAACACGAUAGGUACACGAUGCGCUCCUCCUGUCGCGAAUACGAUGCCUUCCUCUGGACGCUUGGACUGAUAUCACCUCGCUGAGCGACGAUGCUCGCGUUACGGCUCGCCUUUGCUCGUCGUCCGCUUUAUUCGCGAAAGAAGCAGCAGAACGGACGCUUGACCACUGCGAAACCGCCUUCACGCUUCAAGCAUCUUCUGAUCGUCGGCAAGGGACGCGUUAUCGUAACCACGAGGGCCAGGGAGACGCGAUUAAAGUUUCAACGAUGUAAAUCGAGGUCCGGUUUGAGUGAAGUGGCCUCCGUCUAGCACAAACUAGAGCUCACGUUUGAGAGAGUGGAAAGAGGACGUCCGUUCAGCGUUUGCUGCGCACCGCACCAUGAGCCAGCCACAGCCCCCUCAGCAGGCGGCAGCGCCGGAUCUGGAGGUGAUCUCCCAGCAGGUGGAGGAUGAAGGCCAGUGCAUGGCUCCAGUGCAGCUGGUCAGCUUCGCCUACAGGGACCUUCCUCUAGCUGCCCUGGACCUCUCGCUGGCUGGAUCCCAGCUACUUUCCAAUCUGGAUGAAGAGGACAACCAAGAGGGGUCUAACUGGCUGAAGCCG